rnacentral:rRNA from 1 species
CUAACACAUGCAAGUCGAACGGUAACAGUCCUUCGGGAGCUGACGAGUGGCGCACGGGUGAGUAACGCGUGGAUAUCUGCCUAUUAGUGGGGGACAACUACAGGAAACUGUAGCUAAUACCGCAUAAUCUCUACGGAGGAAAGCAGGGGACCUUUCGGGGCCUUGCGCUGAUAGAUGAGUCCGCGUCUGAUUAGCUAGUUGGUAAGGUAAUGGCUUACCAAGGCGAUGAUCAGUAACUGGUUUGAGAGGAUGAUCAGUCACACUGGAACUGAGACACGGUCCAGACUCCUACGGGAGGCAGCAGUGGGGAAUAUUGCACAAUGGGGGGAACCCUGAUGCAGCGACGCCGCGUGCGGGAAGAAGGCCUUCGGGUUGUAAACCGCUUUCAAUUGGGAAGAAGAGAUGAGCACUAAUAUUGCUCUGAUUUGACGGUACCUUUAGAAGAAGCACCGGCUAAUUUCGUGCCAGCAGCCGCGGUAAUACGAAAGGUGCAAGCGUUGUUCGGAUUUACUGGGCGUAAAGAGAUCGUAGGUGGUUUGUUAAGUCGGAUGUGAAAUCCCAGGGCUCAACCCUGGAACUGCAUCCGAUACUGGCAGGCUAGAGUUUGGGAGGGGUAAGCGGAAUUCCGUGUGUAGCAGUGAAAUGCGUAGAUAUACGGAGGAACACCUGAGGCGAAGGCGGCUUACUGGACCAAUACUGACACUGAGGAUCGAAAGCGUGGGUAGCAAACAGGAUUAGAUACCCUGGUAGUCCACGCCCUAAACGAUGUCAACUAGCCGUUGCGGGUAUCGACCCCUGCAGUGGCGAAGCUAACGCGAUAAGUUGACCGCCUGGGGAGUACG